rnacentral:rRNA from 1 species
UACGUAGGUGGCAAGCGUUUGUCCGGAUUUACUGGGCGUAAAGAGCGCGCAGGCGGUCGAUCAAGUCGCGUGUGAAAGCCCCCCGGCUCAACUGGGGAGGGUCACGCGAUACUGAUCGACUCGAAGGCAGGAGAGGGUAGUGGAAUUCCCGGUGUAGUGGUGAAAUGCGUAGAUAUCGGGAGGAACACCAGUGGCGAAGGCGACUACCUGGCCUGUUCUUGACGCUGAGGCGCGAAAGCUAGGGGAGCAAACGGG